rnacentral:rRNA from 1 species
UACAGAGGGUGCGAGCGUUGUCCGGAAUUACUGGGCGUAAAGGGCUCGUAGGUGGCCAACUAAGUCAGACGUGAAAUCCCUCGGCUUAACCGGGGAACUGCGUCUGAUACUGGAUGGCUUGAGUUUGGGAGAGGGAUGCGGAAUUCCAGGUGUAGCGGUGAAAUGCGUAGAUAUCUGGAGGAACACCGGUGGCGAAGGCGGCAUCCUGGACCAACACUGACACUGAGGAGCGAAAGCCAGGGGAGCAAACGGG